UAAGUGGAGAAGUCCCAGGAGGCCAAAAAGGAGUGGAGUCCUCAAUCAGUAUUAAUUGAGUAACUGAAUCAAAAAGAAAUGUGAGAUAGGAGAGGAAGGUAUUCGUUCAUUCUUUUAUAUUGAAUACCUACUAUUAUAAAGGCUUUGUAUUAGGUGCUAUAGAUACAGACUCAUUUUCACCAUUGGAUUAGAUUCUAUAGGCCUAAGUCAUGAUAAAGCCACACCUGACUACAAGGGAGGCUGGGAAACCAUGUGAACAGAAGGAAAAGGAACAUUAUUUGGUGAACAUGUAAGCUACUCCUGUCAGAGUUUAGUUUCUUACCAAAUCAAUUAAGUUCUUCCUUUCAAACGUAGAUCACACACACCCUUCCCAAGACCCACCCUGGAGGUGUUGGAAGUUCUUUGAUUAAAUCGUAAUUUUGUUUCCUGGGAAAUAUAUACACACACAUACACUGUAGGUAUGUGAAUGUACAGUAUAUGUGUAUAUAUGUAGGUAGAUGGAUAGAUUUAAUUCUUAAAUGAGAAUUGGUUUUGCAUGAAAUGCCAGUGUCAUGAUAGAUAUACUUUCUCUUCAUCUCUCUUUGGCAGAAAGUAUUUAUUUUAAAGUUUAAUCUUUCAGUGAGGAGUAUCUUUUCCAGGAUUUUGGCUUUUUAUGGUGUUUUAAUUGGAAAUCUUGAGAUCACUUGGAUCCAGACUUUUAUAAUUUGUUCCUUAAUGUCCACCAAAUCCCAACCCCUUGGUUACCAAGGUUAUCAAUAACUAAACACCACCCCUAAAUUCAUACCCACAAUCAGGACAUCUAAGUCCUAUGUUCACUUCCAUUUCUGAUUUUCAACUUUCCUCUAAUUUCUGCCCCUGGAGAUGACUCACUGUCUCAUGACUCAGCUAUCGACAUAAAAGGCCUUGUGUUAUAUUUAACACAUUUUUAAUAAGUUUUUCAUAGCAGGGGAGUUUUUAUAAUGGUCAGUCAGUUGUAUUGUUGGAAAUGCAAGUCCUGGGACUGAAUUUUGGAAUUCGACUGCCAUAUAUUUCAGGUUGCAUAGGCCUUGAAACUAUAAGUGAAAGAUUGGAGGACUGUAUCAAAGAAAAAAGAUCAACUUUAAGUUUUAAUCUACCAUAGGGCUUACAGAUCUCCAGAACCGCUGGACGGCAGCUUGUCUCUGGGUUAAGGUUGCAAGAUUUAGAAAAAAACAAUAACAAGAAAACAGGACACCCAAGUAAAGUUGAAUUUCAGGUAUAUUACAAAUACAUUUUAGUGUGACUACAUUCCAUAAAUAUUGCCUGGGACAUA
rnacentral:lncRNA from 9 species